rnacentral:rRNA from 1 species
CGGGACACGUGGUAUCCUGUCUGAAUAUGGGGGGACCAUCCUCCAAGGCUAAAUACUCCUGACUGACCGAUAGUGAACCAGUACCGUGAGGGAAAGGCGAAAAGAACCCCGGCGAGGGGAGUGAAAAAGAACCUGAAACCGUGUACGUACAAGCAGUGGGAGCACGCUUAGGCGUGUGACUGCGUACCUUUUGUAUAAUGGGUCAGCGACUUAUAUUCUGUAGCAAGGUUAACCGAAUAGGGGAGCCGAAGGGAAACCGAGUCUUAACUGGGCGUUAAGUUGCAGGGUAUAGACCCGAAACCCGGUGAUCUAGCCAUGGGCAGGUUGAAGGUUGGGUAACACUAACUGGAGGACCGAACCGACUAAUGUUGAAAAAUUAGCGGAUGACUUGUGGCUGGGGGUGAAAGGCCAAUCAAACCGGGAGAUAGCUGGUUCUCCCCGAAAGCUAUUUAGGUAGCGCCUCGUGAAUUCAUCUCCGGGGGUAGAGCACUGUUUCGGCAAGGGGGUCAUCCCGACUUACCAACCCGAUGCAAACUGCGAAUACCGGAGAAUGUUAUCACGGGAGACACACGGCGGGUGCUAACGUCCGUCGUGAAGAGGGAAACAACCCAGACCGCCAGCUAAGGUCCCAAAGUCAUGGUUAAGUGGGAAACGAUGUGGGAAGGCCCAGACAGCCAGGAUGUUGGCUUAGAAGCAGCCAUCAUUUAAAGAAAGCGUAAUAGCUCACUGGUCGAGUCGGCCUGCGCGGAAGAUGUAACGGGGCUAAACCAUGCACCGAAGCUGCGGCAGCGACGCUGAUGCGUUGUUGGGUAGGGGAGCGUUCUGUAAGCCUGUGAAGGUGUGCUGUGAGGCAUGCUGGAGGUAUCAGAAGUGCGAAUGCUGACAUAAGUAACGAUAAAGCGGGUGAAAAGCCCGCUCGCCGGAAGACCAAGGGUUCCUGUCCAACGUUAAUCGGGGCAGGGUGAGUCGACCCCUAAGGCGAGGCCGAAAGGCGUAGUCGAUGGGAAACAGGUUAAUAUUCCUGUACUUGGUGUUACUGCGAAGGGGGGACGGAGAAGGCUAUGUUGGCCGGGCGACGGUUGUCCCGGUUUAAGCGUGUAGGCUGGUUUUCCAGGCAAAUCCGGAAAAUCAAGGCUGAGGCGUGAUGACGAGGCACUACGGUGCUGAAGCAACAAAUGCCCUGCUUCCAGGAAAAGCCUCUAAGCAUCAGGUAACAUCAAAUCGUACCCCAAACCGACACAGGUGGUCAGGUAGAGAAUACCAAGGCGCUUGAGAGAACUCGGGUGAAGGAACUAGGCAAAAUGGUGCCGUAACUUCGGGAGAAGGCACGCUGAUAUGUAGGUGAAGCGACUUGCUCGUGGAGCUGAAAUCAGUCGAAGAUACCAGCUGGCUGCAACUGUUUAUUAAAAACACAGCACUGUGCAAACACGAAAGUGGACGUAUACGGUGUGACGCCUGCCCGGUGCCGGAAGGUUAAUUGAUGGGGUCAGCGCAAGCGAAGCUCUUGAUCGAAGCCCCGGUAAACGGCGGCCGUAACUAUAACGGUCCUAAGGUAGCGAAAUUCCUUGUCGGGUAAGUUCCGACCUGCACGAAUGGCGUAAUGAUGGCCAGGCUGUCUCCACCCGAGACUCAGUGAAAUUGAACUCGCUGUGAAGAUGCAGUGUACCCGCGGCAAGACGGAAAGACCCCGUGAACCUUUACUAUAGCUUGACACUGAACAUUGAGCCUUGAUGUGUAGGAUAGGUGGGAGGCUUUGAAGUGUGGACGCCAGUCUGCAUGGAGCCGGCCUUGAAAUACCACCCUUUAAUGUUUGAUGUUCUAACGUUGACCCGUGAUCCGGGUUGCGGACAGUGUCUGGUGGGUAGUUUGACUGGGGCGGUCUCCUCCUAAAGAGUAACGGAGGAGCACGAAGGUUGGCUAAUCCUGGUCGGACAUCAGGAGGUUAGUGCAAUGGCAUAAGCCAGCUUGACUGCGAGCGUGACGGCGCGAGCAGGUGCGAAAGCAGGUCAUAGUGAUCCGGUGGUUCUGAAUGGAAGGGCCAUCGCUCAACGGAUAAAAGGUACUCCGGGGAUAACAGGCUGAUACCGCCCAAGAGUUCAUAUCGACGGCGGUGUUUGGCACCUCGAUGUCGGCUCAUCACAUCCUGGGGCUGAAGUAGGUCCCAAGGGUAUGGCUGUUCGCCAUUUAAAGUGGUACGCGAGCUGGGUUUAGAACGUCGUGAGACAGUUCGGUCCCUAUCUGCCGUGGGCGCUGGAGAACUGAGGGGGGCUGCUCCUAGUACGAGAGGACCGGAGUGGACGCAUCACUGGUGUUCGGGUUGUCAUGCCAAUGGCACUGCCCGGUAGCUAAAUGCGGAAGAGAUAAGUGCUGAAAGCAUCUAAGCACGAAACUUGCCCCGAGA